CAGUCAUGUCGGAGAGGGCGCCCGGGCGCCCCUCCGCCGCCGCCCGGCCCCGCCGCCGCAGCCGCAGUGCCGGCGGGAAGGCCCCCUCCGCCAACGCCUCAUGUCGCACUUCCACACAUCGCCGCUACCCCCCCCCCCCCCACCCCGGCCUGCCAGAGCGGGAGCCGGCGGCGGGCGGGCCGGGGCGGCGGGGCUCCCCUCACGGCCCGGCGCUGAGGGCCCGGUGGGGCGGGAAGGGCCGCCGCCCGCGACCGACCGUUCCCUCCGCCGCAGCUGAGGAAAAGGAGGAAGAGGAGGAGGAGAAGGAGGCGGCGGCGGCGGAGGGGAGGGGGGGAGGAAAAAAAAAAAAAAAAACAUGGCGCCGCGUCCUACUUGCGGUGUGGCGCUGCCAGCGCGGGGCCGGGAGCGGCUCGGCGGGGGGGGGGGGGCGCUCGCCGGCCGGCCCCGCUCGCCUCAUUGUGCCCCCCGCGCCCGAACAAUGAGCCCCCGCGAGCCGCGCAGGGCCGGGCCGGGCUGCGCCUCACCGCCCGCCGGGAACGGCGGCGUGUACAGCGGCGGGAGCCCUCCUCCCCCCCCCCCCACCCCCCCCGUCCUCGUCCUCCUCCUCCUCCUCCUCCUCGCCCAGGAGUUUUUAAACUUUAAAGAGCAGGUUACAUCGACCUGCCCGCCUUUGUCCCUCGGACACCGCGCUUGGCCACCGAAAAGCCGCGCGGCCGCGUCCCGCCGCCUUGCCUCCGCCCUGCCCCCAGCGCCCCCCGGAGAGCAUCUGGAGAGAGGGAGAGAGAGAGAAAGGGCGCGUUCAUGAGGACUACAAAGUUACAAAUAUGGCUCCCCAGUCUCUCUUGCCUGAUCACUGCAAAGAAAUGAAGACGCACUUUAAACUAAACCAUUUGCAACUCACUCGCAGUCCCUGUCUGCCUCUCCCUGCCCAGCACCCAGUACAAAUAUUUGCGAACUAAACACGCCAAGAGAGGAGCACCAACUUAUUUUUAUUUAAUGCACGGGCGAGCCCCCUCGAAGGCAUCGCACACCGGCAGAGUCGGGAGCAGCCUCUAGUUUCCCCCUAGACCAUAACGCGUGCGCCUUCGGGCACCCCCAAAUUGGGGUGCACGGCCCCACACGCACAGACACACACACACACACACACACACACACACAGGUAGGCACCUCAAGGGCAGCAGCGGCCCCGCCGCCGCCGCUGCCCCCCGAACCCCGCGGGGUUGGGAUGCCCCCUCCUCUCCCCCCCCCAAAAAAAAAAUGUGGGAUGGAUUUUUAUUAUUAAUUUUUUUUUUUUUUUGCAUUGCUUACAUCUGAGGGCGUCCUGUUCCGCAGCUCUAAGUGGAUCCUUUUCUUCAUGUCCAUGUCCGUGGCUGGCGGGAGUCGCUCGCUGUCCCCGGCUCCGCUCGUGCAGUGACACCGAUGGAGACCCCCCCAAAGCCAGCGCGUGCAGGAUGGAGAUACUUCUUUUACCCGCCUCGUCUGUGGAUAAACUGUAAGGAAUGCAGUUGACAGCUAAGGACAAUUUCUGUUGAGAGUGUGCGAGCUGGGAGAAAGGUCAAGCUGGGUCCAGCUUAAGGUGUGAACAAAGGUGGCCCCAGGGUUGAGGCUUCACAGAGGAAGGUUUGGUCUGGAAUCUGUUUUCAUGGCACAGGUGAAGACCUUUGGAAAAGAACUUUUAUCAUGGAAACAAAGUGACUAUAAGUAUUAACUAAAUCAACAUAAUAUUUUAAAAAAAAAAGUUUCUGAGAGUACAGAGAUACUUUUUCCUUUGUUUUCUCAGAAGAAAAAACGUGUUGUGUGUUCUAAUUAUAUAAAGUUGUAUAAAGUGUCCCCCUCCAACCUAUUGGGGGAAACUUACUCAAAGUUCAAAACCAAAAUUAAAUGUUUAAAACCUGUUGGUUUCCUCUCUGCCCAAUUCGUGUGCAUGGUGCUUGUACUGCAAGGGUUUGAGAAGUCUUGAAAACUCUUUGGAGAAUUGAAAAUGAAUGGAAAUGUUCCACAGGUCAAAUACCUAAGCAUCCUAUCGGAAUGGUAAAUAAAUUCUAAAUAACAUCUUUCCAGAGUACAGCUUUUCUUAAACAAACGGCAACAAGAAAAAUCUGGUCACUGGACUGAUUAAUACUUUUAGGAUAUGAAAAAAUGUAAAUCAGUUUUAAAAAUGGGUAUGAUUAUGCCAUUUCAACUAAGGAUCCGGUUUUGUUCUCUUUGUAAUAGAGGAAGAAACUGUUACAUUUUGAUGAAGCAAUACUAAGUCUUAGUUGAGGAAUUUUUAUGAUGCUUUUGUAUGAAUAAAGCUGUCAACUAA